UCUACUUUGAACGAAGGACCAAUGAGAAAAGUUUGCUCAUGGAGAAGGUCAGAGCGAAGUGGUCAACCAAUCAACACGGCCGUGGCUAAUGACGGAUAGGAAAUGACGGGUAGAAUCGCGACUGGCAUCAGAUGAGAUGAGAGGUGGCCCACCAUGAGGUGCUGGGCGCAGCUGCUCUGUAUUCUCCUUUGCGCGCUCCCUUACUUUGCCCUGGAUGUAUUACCCAUAUGCUACCGAGACUGCGCAGCUAACGGGGUAAUUAUUGACGAUGACUUCGACGUGGUCUGUAACGAAACGUGUAAAGUUCAAAAGCAUAUCUGAAGAGAAAAAGAAAACUCAGAGGAACAAACUGAAUCAUCUAAGCUUCUUGAACGACACAGGAUGGAUGAAAAUUUCUAACUGGAUUCAUCGUUCAUUGACAUAAUAGGAUCAAACAGAUUCUUAAAAAUAAA